CUUGAGGCCAGUUCAGUACCAGCCUAGCCAACAUGGUGAAACCCCAUCUCUACUAAAAAUACAAAAAAUUAGCCAAGUAUGGUGGCAUGCACCUGUAGUCCCAGCUACUUAGGAGGCUAAGGCACAAGAAUUGGUUGAACCUGGGAGGCAGAGGUUGCAGUGAACCAAGAUCAUGUCACUGUACUCCAGCCUGAAUGACAGAGACUCUGCUCAAAAAAAAAAAGAAAGAAAGAAAGAAAGAAGAAAUAGAUAAAAACAACAAAUGUUUAAAGGUUAAAAUGGUAAAUUUUCUGUUAUGUGUAUUUUACCACAACAAGAAAAGAUAAAAUGUUAAAUAAAAAGAGCAACUAAAGAGAAUUUAACUCUAGCACAUCCAUUUUUCAGGCUGAAAUGAAAGAACAGGUGACACUAACUCAAAUCCACAUGAAGUGGAGAGCAUUGGAAAAGAUGAGGAACUGAGAUGAGGAGCAGCCCUGGACUGAGUGAAUUGAACCCUCUGGGUGUGUUACAUUCAGGAUGGUGGAACAAGACCCCUGGGAAGAAGUCCCACUUAUCUGAAGAGCCAGAUUUCUCAAAGGACAAGUAACCCUAGAGGGGAGUAUCAAUGGGAAAGCUAUGGAUUCCUUGCCACAUCCCCGUUACAGAACUAUGCUUGUUAAGAACAGAAUCUCAAGAAAACAUAUCAAGAGGUUGAAUGAAGACAUUUCUCUCUUCUGUAUUCCUGAUCUCCUGGGGUUACAAGAGCACAGGUUUAGGCAAACAUAGCCGAUUUCUCUCUAAGGUGUCUCUUCACUUCUUGAUGCACUGGAGAUCCUUGUGGAAUAAUACAUUAGUGAUAAUGAGUGUUGGGUGCUCACAAAUCACCCACAAUUCAUUGGCUGAAGGCAUCUUAAACGUGGACUUUUUGGCUUUUAUUGUCUUUAGCUGCUUCUUUUAACAUACUUUAGUUUGAGUGUACAGAUUUGGGGUUUUCAAACUUGUUUUUAAUUAAGGCAUGGUUUAUUUUUAUUGCUUGAGAUAAAAUGCAGUCUGAGGGUCACAAAUGUAAUUUACAAAAUAAAGUGCAUCUGGGCAGACCAUAAGAAAAAAAAAGAACAGAAAGCCUAAAUAAAGAGUGGGCCAGGAUUCUUAAGUUUAUUUAGUAACUUCUUGGAGAAUAAAAAUCCCAGCACCUGCAUUAUAAAAAAGCACACCUUAUAAGUGUCCUUCUCUUCGAAACACCUAAGUGAACUACACUGAAUUAUGAACUAACUAAUGGUUUGUAAAAAUUCGCCUUGAGCAAGCUAUUGAAGAUACUAAAUAAACGAGGCUGAGACAGAGUCUGAGGAAACCCAACCUGCUGUUUGUUUUAUCAGUAAUGUAACUCAAAAGUAGCCAAGCGGAUGGCUGGAGUUUUCUCUGUGUUUUGUUUCCCUGGGCUGAGCCUGUGAAUGCCAAGAUUUAAUCUAAAGAGGUUUGUGUUUUAAAAAACUAACAACCAAGUAAUAAAACACCUAUAAAAACUGUUUAUAAUGGAAC
rnacentral:lncRNA from 1 species